GUUGUCAUGCCAAUGGCACGGCUGGGCAGCUAUGUACGGAACGGAUAAACGCUGAAAGCAUCUAAGCGUGAAGCCGACUCCAAGAUUAGAUAUCCCAUCGUAUAACGAGUAAGACCCCUUGAAGACUACGAGGUUGAUAGGCUGCGUGUGUAAGUGCCGUGAGGCAUUCAGCUUGGCAGUACUAAUAGGUCGAGGGCUUGACCACAA
rnacentral:rRNA from 1 species